rnacentral:piRNA from 1 species
UGUGCUAUUAACCUUUGCUAUAGCAAGUGG